rnacentral:misc_RNA from 1 species
AAGACUAUAGACCUGCGGAGUACCUGCGGAGGGAUCAUUAAAGAGUUUAACUACUCAAACCAUUGUGAACCUUACCUCAACCGUUGCUUCGGCGGGCGGGCCCGGGCCAAGCCCGGCGCCCCCCCGGCCCCUCGCGGGCGCCCGCCGGAGGUUAACCGAACCCUUGAAUUGUAUGGCCUCUCUGAGUCUUCUGUACUGAAUAAGUCAAAACUUUCAGCAACGGAUCUCUAGAUCGGAAGA